CAGUCGCCGCGGGAAUACGAAGGGUGCAAGCGUUAAUCGGAAUUACUGGGCGUAAAGCGUGCGUAGGCGGUUUGUUAAGUCUGUUGUGAAAUCCCCGGGCUCAACCUGGGAAUGGCAAUGGAUACUGGCAAGCUAGGGUGUGUCAGAGGAUGGUGGAAUUCCCGGUGUAGCGGUGAAAUGCGUAGAGAUCGGGAGGAACAUCAGUGGCGAAGGCGGCCAUCUGGGACAACACUGACGCUGAGGCACGAAAGCGUGGGGAGCAAACAGGAUUAGAUACCCGCGUAGUCCCUGUCUCUUAUAC
rnacentral:rRNA from 1 species